GUCAAGCUCAACUCCCAGUCCUACUGCCAGUUCCUGGAGGACACCUUCUUCAAGCAGUGGUACAGGAAGAAGUCUGCAUCCUUCAAGAAAAACAUGAUUUUCAUGCAGGACAAUGCUCCAUCACAUGCGUCCAGGGCCGGACUGGGAAAAAAAUUAGGCCCGGACAUUUUUCAAUCAGAGCGGCCCCCUAAGAAGGGGGCGGGGAAAGAGAGG